UACGUAGGGUGCAAGCGUUGUCCGGAAUUAUUGGGCGUAAAGAGCUUGUAGGCGGUUUGUCGCGUCUGCUGUGAAAUUUCGGGGCUCAACCCCGAACUUGCAGUGGGUACGGGCAGACUAGAGUGUGGUAGGGGGAGACUGGAAUUCCUGGUGUAGCGGUGAAAUGCGCAGAUAUCAGGAGGAACACCGAUGGCGAAGGCAGGUCUCUGGGCCACUACUGACGCUGAGGUGCGAAAGCGUGGGGGAGCAAACAGG
rnacentral:rRNA from 1 species